rnacentral:rRNA from 1 species
UCCCGCGGUCUCCCGCGUUGUUCGGAUUCAUUGGGCGUACAGGGCGCGUAGGUGGCGGGGUAAGUCUGGUGUGAAAUCCUGGGGCUCAACCCCGGAACUGCACUGGAUACUGCCUUGCUAGAGUACUGGAGAGGGAACUGGAAUUUACGGUGUAGCGGUGAAAUGCGUAGAUAUCGUAAGGAAGACCAGUGGCGAAGGCGGGUCUCUGGACAGUUCCUGACGCUGAGGCACGAAAGCCAGGGGAGCAAACGGG